rnacentral:piRNA from 1 species
UACGUGAGAGGAACAUUGUCUCCACAUGGGU